rnacentral:rRNA from 1 species
GCAGCAUAACUUAGCUUGCUAAGUUGAUGGCGACCGGCGCACGGGUGAGUAACACGUAUCCACCUGCCGAUGACUCGGGGAUAGCCUUUCGAAAGAAAGAUUAAUACCCGAUGGCUCCGCAUGGUUAAAGAAUUUCGGUCAUCGAUGGGGAUGCGUUCCAUUAGGUUGUUGGCGGGGUAACGGCCCACCAAGCCUUCGAUGGAUAGGGGUUCUGAGAGGAAGGUCCCCCACAUUGGAACUGAGACACGGUCCAAACUCCACGGGAGGCAGCAGUGAGGAAUAUUGGUCAAUGGACGAGAGUCUGAACCAGCCAAGUAGCGUGAAGGAUGACUGCCUAUGGGUUGUAAACUUCUUUUAUACGGGAAUAAGUGAGGCACGUGUGCCUUUUUGUAUGUACCGUAUGAAUAAGGAUCGGCUAACUCCGUGCCAGCAGCCGCGGUAAUACGGAGGAUCCGAGCGUUAUCCGGAUUUAUUGGGUUUAAAGGGAGCGUAGGCGGACGCUUAAGUCAGUUGUGAAAGUUUGCGGCUCAACCGUAAAAUUGCAGUUGAUACUGGGUGUCUUGAGUACAGUAGAGGCAGGCGGAAUUCG